CGAGAAUCUUGGGCAAUGCGCGAAAGCGUGACCCAGCAAUGCCGCGUGUGUGAUGAAGGCCUUCGGGUCGUAAAGCACUGUCUCCCGUGACGAAAUUUGACGGUAGCGGGGAAAGAAGCCACGGCUAACUACGUGCCAGCAGCCGCGGUAAUACGUAGGUGGCGAGCGUUGUUCGGAUUUAUUGGGCGUAAAGGGUCUGUAGGAGGUUCGUUAAAUACGAGGUGAAAUCCCGAAGCUCAACUUCGGAACUGCCUUGUAGACUGACGGACUAGAGUACCGGAGAGGUAAGCGGAAUACCAGGUGUAGCGGUGGAAUGCGUAGAUAUCUGGUAGAACACCAAUAGCGAAGGCAGCUUGCUGGACGGAAACUGACUCUGAAAGACGAAAGCAUGGGGAGCAAACAGGAUUAGAUACCCUGGUAGUCCAUGCCGUAAACGUUGUCAACUUGAUGUGGGGGGAUUUAGUCCUCUCCGUAUCGAAGCUAACGCGAUAAGUUGACCGCCUGGGGACUACGGCCGCAAGGCUAAAACUCAAAGGAAUUGACGGGGGCCCGCACAAGCGGUGGAGCAUGUGGCUUAAUUCGAGGCAACGCGAAGAACCUUACCUGGUCUUGAAAUAUAUCGGACCGCCUGUGAAAGCAGGCUUCCCUUCGGGGCUGAUAUACAGGUGCUGCAUGGCUGUCGUCAGCUCGUGCCGUGAGGUGUUCGGUUAAGUCCGGCAACGAGCGCAACCCGUGUCACUAGUUGCCAUCAAGUAAUGUUGGGGACUCUAGUGAGACUGCCUGUGUUAAGCAGGAGGAAGGCGCGGAUGACGUCAAGUCAGUAUGGCCCUUACGACCAGGGCUGCACACGUGCUACAAUGGGGGGUACAAUGGGAUGCAAUGUCGCGAGGCGGAGCAAAUCCACAAAACCUCUCUUAGUUCAGAUUGCAGUCUGCAACUCGACUGCAUGAAGUUGGAAUCGCUAGUAAAGGCGUAUCAGCUACGACGCCUUGAAUACGUUCC
rnacentral:rRNA from 1 species